rnacentral:rRNA from 1 species
AUUGAACGCUGGCGGCAGGCCUAACACAUGCAAGUCGAGCGCGAAGGUUCUUCGGAAUGAGUAAAGCGGCGGACGGGUGAGUAAUACAUGGGAAUCUGCCUGGUAGUGGGGGACAACGUUUCGAAAGGAACGCUAAUACCGCAUACGCCCUACGGGGAAAGGGGGGAUCUUCGGACCUCUCGCUAUCAGAUGAGCCCAUG